AGUGAACGCUGGCGGUAGGCCUAACACAUGCAAGUCGAACGGCAGCACAGUAAGAGCUUGCUCUUACGGGUGGCGAGUGGCGGACGGGUGAGGAAUACAUCGGAAUCUACUUUUUCGUGGGGGAUAACGUAGGGAAACUUACGCUAAUACCGCAUACGACCUACGGGUGAAAGCAGGGGAUCUUCGGACCUUGCGCGAUUGAAUGAGCCGAUGUCGGAUUAGCUAGUUGGCGGGGUAAAGGCCCACCAAGGCGAGGAUCCGUAGCUGGUCUGAGAGGAUGAUCAGCCACACUGGAACUGAGACACGGUCCAGACUCCUACGGGAGGCAGCAGUGGGGAAUAUUGGACAAUGGGCGCAAGCCUGAUCCAGCCAUACCGCGUGGGUGAAGAAGGCCUUCGGGUUGUAAAGCCCUUUUGUUGGGAAAGAAAAGCAGCAGGUUAAUACCCCGCUGUUCUGACGGUACCCAAAGAAUAAGCACCGGCUAACUUCGU
rnacentral:rRNA from 1 species